GUCAAACCUGAUGCCGGAAGGAUGUCGGUAUUGCAGUAGGAAAUUAAGAUUCUAUUCAAUGGAUUGGACAAUAAAUAACAGGUAUUAAAGACCCAACAGCUUGAAAUGUGGUCAAAUGUUGAGCUGACAAUAGCAAGAAAACAAGACUCAGACAUGAUAUCAACUGGAAGAUGUGGCGGCACCGGAUUGUGUUUGUGUUGGUUUGAAGAGUUAUCAAAUUCUUCGCGCUAUUGAGAAGGCAAGCAUCGUCAGCGAACAAUUUGCUUAAAAGAUUUGAUGAGUUCGAUAAAUCAUUUAUGUAUAAUAAAAAUUCAAGAGCACUCAACACAGAACCUUGAACAACUUCACAGUGAAUGGGCAACAUUGGA